rnacentral:lncRNA from 1 species
UUCAAUGAGGUGAUUUCUUGAUUCUCUUUAAAUUAAAUCUCAAUCUUUGUUAUAACUAGUUAUAUAAUUAUUAAUUAAUUAAUUUGUGUAUGUAUUGUUGUUAGAUUAUGAAAUUGUUGAAGGCAUGCAUGACGUCCCCAACUCCAUUGUCGGACGUCAUCCUGAAUAAAACAACACACUUGAAGUCUGCAGAGGUUCCAUUGCACGAGAUGGUAGUAAAGGAAGAAAACACCAACACUAUGAGUUUGAAAGUUACCAUACAAAAAUCGACAGGUAAGUUGCUGUAUGCUCAAGCUAAAGAAGAUUUUAUCGAGUUUCUAUUUGGUUUCUUCAACAUCCCACUAGGAGGAGUUGGGCAUCUUCUGGCUGGCAAGACUCGUGUGAAGGCUAUAAACAACUUGUAUCUGAGCACAGAUGACCAUGUAAACGACGAGUAUUUCAAAACCUCGGUUAUGAAAAGAAGGCUAUUGGAACCCAAUGUGGUUCAUGGAUGCAUUUCUGAAAACAACAUUCUUCGCCUUACUGAAGAACCUUUGCCUGUUGACUACACACGCUAUAACGACUAUUUUUCUUCAGUGAAGUUUCCCAAAGGGAAAGGGAGGUGUCUUGAGCGACCAGCAACUUAUAAGGUGACAGAUGAUUUAACUGUGACCCCUUUUUGCACUGUCUCCAUUCUUUCCACUCUCAAUAGCUUGAAAAUCCCAAUAACUGAUGUCCAAGAAAUGGAGCUGCAAAUCGGAUUGAAAGAGGUAUAUAAUACAAUUUUAAAUAUGUGAUUAUGUUUUGUAGCAUGUGUUGAGAUGAAGUUUGUUGGUGCAGGGCUUGAGCAUACUGAAAGCUUCUCUUACAUCCACUUCUGCUCUCACAGAUUCUCUCCUCAGUCAUAAAUCGAGCAAGAAACCGAAGAAAGAACUCUCAGGCUGAUCCUUGGUUGCAACUAUUACAAAUAGUAUUAAUUAGCAACUAUGGUGCUUAUGUUUGUUUUUUGUUUCUGUAGAAAGCAUACUCUUGAAAGUUAUACAACUAAAAUCGAACUGUCAAAUGGAAUUUUUCCAAUUUAAAAUGUCGAAAAAUUCAUUGACAAUGCUACCUCGCUAACAAAAUCAGAGCAAUCCACAACUAAAAAUAACUACUGAAACUUGAAAUAGUUUACACUAUAAGAUUUUCUUUUUCAUUUCUUGGAAUCCCACACCAUGUCCUACUAUCAAAACUAUCUGACAUUUAAAAAAAAAUCAUGUUUAUAUUCCAAAAAUUAUUAUUUCUCACACCCGAAGAUGACGUGGCAUAUCUGAUGUGGCCUAAAUAUUUGAAAGCUAUAGUGAAUAAAGAGAAUCUUGAAGAAGCAAUAUCUGAUUUGAAUCUCUGAAUAUCUAGUUGUCAUGUUUUCUGGUUAUUAUCUAUUUUUUGCUAUUCUCGUUUUAUGUUUUGUGGUAUAUGCAUAUUAAGAGCAUCCCUUACAUCUGAUUAUGAUUCUGCUUGGCAUUAUCAUAAAAUAUGAUGCACAAAAAAUCUCUCUUUUGUAAGAUCAAUUUUCAUUUGAUUGGAUAUUUAGAGGGUGUUUGGCUAAGCUUAUUUUAAAGAGCUUAUAAGCUCUUGGAGCUUAUAAGAUGUUUCAAGAGCUUAUAAGAUGUAGUUUUCUAAGAACUUAUAAGUUGUCAAAGUGUUUGGAUAAUUGAGCUUAUAAGCUAGAGAGAGAAUUUUUUUCUAGAGAGAGAAAAUAUUUUUCUAGAGAGAGAAAAUCGAAGAGAAAUGAACUUAAAUGAUAUAUGAUGAAAAUAAUAAAUUAUAGUUGAAAAAUAUUUGUAAAAUAAUUAUUACAUAUGAGAUUAUAAAAAAAUAAGUUGGGGUAGAGGAACUUAUUUAUUUGGGAAGCUUAUAAGUUCUUGGAGCUUAUUUUUGGAACUUAUAAGUUAUUUAUGAGCUUAUUUUAUCAAAUACUUUGAAAGAGCUUAUAAGCUCCUAAACAGUUCAUAAGCUGUUUUGAAGAGCUUAUAGGCUAAGAGCUUAUAAGCUCAGCCAAACACCCUCUUAGUCUAGUUCUUGUAUUGUGAGCAUUCAGUAUGAAAUAGUGAUUAAAUUAUGAAAUUACAUUGUGAAACGAACAAUUUGAGCAUACAAAAAGUGAAAUAGUUUUAAAAUGAUGACUGGAAAAACAAGAACCAUAGUUAAAACAACAUAAAAGCACAAUGCAAAGCUAUGAAUUUAAGCCAACAAUGUCACAUUUAUGAGCAGCAAAACAAGAUCUAAAAGCAUGGAUCACACUCAGACUUCUCUCUUUGGUUGUUUGAUUGAUAUGUGACUCAAUAGAGCAUCAGAAAGAGCAGAAGUGGAUGUAAGAGAGGCUUUCAGUAUGCCCAAAGCCUGCACAAAAGAAAGCAAUCUCAACAUGUAAACAUAUGCUCAAAAAUAUAGUACCAACAGAUAUUUACCUCUUUCAACCCGAUUUCAAGCUCCACUUCUUUGACAUCAGAUAUCGAGAUUUUCUGCUCUUUGAGAGAGGAAAACAUGGAGACAAUACAUAAAGGUGUAACAGUUAAAUCAUCCGCCACGUGAUAAAUUUGAGGCCCCGUAAGAUAACUUCCCUUGCCAUUGGGAAACUUAAUAGAAGAAAACCAAUUUAUAUUAUCAAUGUAGACAGCAGGCAAGCAUUCUUCAGUGAGGGGGAAAAUGUAGUUUCCAGAAAUACAACCAUGAACCAGAUUGGGUUUCAUUAGCCUGUUUUUCGUAUCCGGGCUCUUGGGAUACUUGUCAAUAAGAUCAGCUGAGCUCCGAUACAAGUUGUCUAUAGCCUUAAUACAAGUCUUGCCGGCCACAACGUGCUCAGCUCCACCUAGUGGAAUAUGAAGGAGACCAAAUAGAAACUCUAUAAACUCUUCCUUAGCUUGAGCAUACAAAAACUUACCACUAGAUUUCUGUAUCAUCACUUUCAAACUUAACUUCUUAAAGUUGGGAUUUUCUUCCAUUGCAACAUUCUGCAGUAGUGGUGGAGAUUCCAAGAUUGAAGUGUUGAUCUGUCUUGUUUUUUUUAGGAUGACAUCCGACAGUGGAGUUGGGGACGUCAAGGAUGUCAUCAACAAGUUCAUAAUCUAACAAAAAUACACACAAAAUCAAACAAGUAAUAAGAAAAGAAGCUGUGAGAAAGAUAGAGAAUCAAGAAUCACCUCAUUGAACCCUAAAUCCACAUUGAUGAGCUCAGCCUUAUCCAUGUCUGUAAUACCAAGAGAGACGACGAUACCUACAAUCCCCGUCUCGUUUGGCAGUAUCUGCAGAUCAUCAGAGAUUAUGAAUGAUGCUUUAUGUAUGGUGAAAACUCCAUCUCUAGAAGCAGCUUUAGGCCCUUUUUCAUCUAGUACUACUUUCUCCAACUUACGAUAACAGUUCCAAAUAGGGCAAACUGUAAUAGUAUCAUAGUAAAUGCUCACACUACGAAAUCUUUUAGAGUGAACGCUACAAGAAAAAUAUUGAGCAGGUUGAAAAUCAGUGAUAUCGAGUUUCAGCCCCGCGUACUUGUCUUCGAAUGAACUAGUUGGAUUGAGCAGAGCCUGCUUAGCACCCUCAGUCACAAAAUGGGAGCCAACUUCAAGAUUUGCUACGCUUCGGUACAAAUUGCUUAAGCUUCCAAUGGUGGGUGCCUCAACUGAUCCAUAGUGCUUCUCGAGGACUUUCACAAUUCUUCCCAACGGCAAAGUCAAGAAGCUCAACAAAAUGUCUACAAAAUGGCUGUCAGCUUGUGCAAAGAGUACCCUAGUUUUCUCUUUAUUUAUCAUCACUUUCAAUGAGAACUCUGCAUCUUUAGCAUCAUCCAUUCUCGAGGUCCUACAAAUCAAGAAAAUUCCGAUUGACGAUAUUUAGAUCAAGCACAAGUACAUUGUCUCACUAAAUCUGAAAACUUCAAUUAUUAUGCAAGUAAAGGUAGAUCUUCACUAUGCCGAAAAGAUGUUCAUAUAUGUCUGCUGCAUCAAUAAGACUACAAUAAAAUUUCUUGCAUGCGUGUGCUGAUUUAGCGGUAAAGUAGUUAACGUUUGAGGCAUUUAGGCUCAAGUUCGAGUACACCGUGACACGGUCUUGUAAAAUAUUCCAAUCUCCUCCUCAAAAAAAAUCUUGAGCUAAAAAAUAAUUCCAUAAUAUACAUGAUAUACCUCAACAGAAAAUAAACAUAAAGGUGAGGUCUAAUAACUAAAAUAUUUAAACUUGAAUUUGAUACAGAAGUCGUCACUGCACUAAUUAGUUUAUAUGUGUAUUGAUCUAAUAGUAGAAUAUAAUUAAUGUUUGAGGUUAAAGGUAUCAAGAUUGCUAUUUGGACAUAAUAUGUUCAUAUAUAAAAUGGUCAAAUAUAUAAAAAUCGAUCAAUUUAAAAAUUUUGGCUCAAAAUAAAAAAGGAUUAAUUUAGUUAAUUAAAAAUAAAGACAGCUACAAUGUGAACAAAAUUUUAAAACUAGCUAAUUUUUUUUUUUAUUUUUUUAAAUCGAAAAUUUUAAAUUAAUUCUAUUUUGUAUAUAUUUGUUAAGUUCGAAUCCCCUGCCAAAUGAUCUUUAAAAUUAUUUAUUCAUGGACCCAAAAAAACCCAUUUUUUCGUCAAAUUCUGUCAUUAUUCAAAACCAAAAUCUAGUUUCCUGAGAGUCCAAUUAAAUCCUUCAUAAAGACUAAAAGAAGCUCGAAUUAAACAUCUCUUACUCGGGUAAUUCUAUCUAUAUCAAAGCCUAUUUUUCAGAAAAAAUUAAAAUUUAGUGUAUUUUAUUUCAAAUUUUAAAGAUUGCGAGCAAAAUCAAAAUCCGUCUAAAUUUUAUGUAUUUUGCGGCAAUUUACGCAUAAACAUAGUAGUAAUUAACUAAUUAAUAAUCAAUUAAAAAUAGGCACAGUGUGAACAAGAGAUGAAUAAGUCAAGAAUUACCUGAUUUCCAAUCUAUAAAAUUGGGGAUUUUCAGAGAAAAAGACAGAUUUUCAAGUCAACCCAGAAGAAAACAUGUUGUUGGAUGAGGGUGGCUGAGCUCGCGGCGGAGGAAGGGUGGCUGCGACGGUGGUUUUGAGCGGCUAAAAGUGAAGAGAGGAGUGGAUAGAUGAGUGAGAGAGAAGCACUGGCAUUAUUUGGCUACUAAAGCAAAAUGGAGCGCAAACAGUUGAGCUAUGCCAUUGGCGAAUCUUUGCUUUUUCACUUUUUUUUUAACUUCUUUUUCUGUUUUUCAACUUUUUCUUUUCCAUGUUUUUGGUUUGUCGGUUUCACAAAAAGUACUAUUGCAUGACUUUAUUUGACGCAAUUGUAAUUUAAUAUGUUUGAACAAAAAAGUACUAGUUAAAUACUUUAACAAAUAUAUUUAUUUAAAACUUUUGAUUAAAAAAAUAGUUAUUUUUAUUAUUUUCUCCAUAUUUUAUUUUAUAAUUUUUAAUAUUUUAUUUAAAAAUUGUUAUUUUUAAAGAGCAUAAAAAUUACAAAUAAAAAGUAAAAAUUAAAAUAGCACCUUAGAUUUCUCUCUAUUGAUCAUCACUUUCAACGAAAACGUAGCAUUCUUGUUCUUGUUUUUCUCAGACAUUUUGGUGGAGGCGAAGAUUUUUCUACAAUUCUAUUUUCUUAUUUGUGAAACAUCAACCUUUCAAGUUCCACCAUAUUAAUAUUAUUUGUAUCUCAUAAAGAGGGUGAAUGCAGAGAGUCUCGGAAUUGGUAGGACUAAUGACUCUUAGGUUAACUUCUUCCCCAUAAAAAGGGAGGGUUUGGUGUUAAGAAGGAUGUCAAGUUGUCGUUGAAAGUGAUGAUAAAUAUAGAGAGAAAUGAGGUACACAAUAUAUAUUUCGAAUUUUUACUCCAAUAACAUUUACGAUAAUUCUUAUUUCAACAAACAAAUAAUAGUUACUCCAUCUCAUAUAUUGUGCAACUUAAAUUUUUUGAUACUCAUAUAUUAUUAAAUAAUUAAUUAAAUUUUAAAUAUAAACCAGUUAGGUCAUCUAGCUGCUUAAUUCGAAGCUAGCUACUGCAUAGAGUUUAAUUUGAUUUUGUAUCUAAUAUAAAGAGCGAAUGCAGAGAGUCUUGGAAUUUGGUGGGACUAUGUUACUCCAAUAGCAUUUGCAUAAUGGAAAAAGAUCCAAAUGAAUGGAAAAACCAAGAUCCAUAAUUUAAAAUAAAAAUGAAGCAGCAUAUUGCUAUUAAAAUAAGCAGAAAAACAAUACUAUUUGGAAUUGGAGCAUGGAUCGCAGUCAGACUUUUUCUCUCUUAGGUCGUUUGAGUGAUUUGCGAGUCAUCAGAGCAUCAGUGAGAGCAGUAGAAGAAGUAAGAGAGGCUUUCAGUAUGCUUAAAGCCUGCACCAACACAAUUCAUCUCAUCAACAUCUAAUUACAUACAUUCAGAAAUAUAUAAGAUUUCAAAUGAUACAGGUUACCUCUUUCAGCCCGAUUUGCAUCUCCACUUCUUUGACAUCAGAUAUCGAGAUUUCCUGCUCUUUAAGUGAGGAAAGUGUCGAGGCAAAGCAGAAAGGCGUAACAGUUAAAUCAUCGGCCACGUGAUAAGUUGGAGAUCCUUUAAGAUAACUUCCCUGCCCAUUGGGAAACUUAACAGAAGAAAAAUUGUAUUUACGAUCAUAGUCAGCAGGCAAGGAUUCUUCAGUGAGGGGGAAAAUGUAGUCUUUCGAAACAUAGCCAUGAGGUAGAGUGGGAUUCAUUAGCCUCUUUUUCGUAUCCGGGGUAAUGAAAUGCUUGCUAUCUAUAACGUCGGAUGUGUUCCGGUACAAGUUGUCUAUAGCCUUAACACAAGUGCUACCGGCAAGAAGAUGCUCAACUCCUCCAAGUGGGAUGUAGAGGAAACUAAACAGAAACUCUACAAACUGUUUAUUAGCUUGAGCAUACACAACCUUACCAGUAGAUUGUUGUAUCAUCACUUUCAAACUUAAAUUCCUAGAGUUAUUGGGAUUCUCUUCGUCUCCACUGUGUGGUUGAGACACCAUGAGUGUAGAGUAAAUCAGCUGUGUUGUUUUAUUUAGGAUGAUGUCCGACAAUGGAGUUGGGGACGUCAAGGAUGCCUUCAACAAAUUCAUAACCUAAUAGAAAUUAAGAGAUAACAAGUUAAAGAAAAUUUAGUGGGAGAUAUAAUAUAAAACAACCUUUAAUAACUUUGUUGUCUAUAGCUUAAUAGACAACUACUUUACUAUAUAUCUUUAAAUGUUGUCUAUGUUAUAUGUCUAUAUACGUUUUUCACGUAGUGUGGAAACAAAUUAAAAUUACCUCAUUGAAGCCCAAAUCCACUUUGAUUUGCUCGGCGUUAUCCAUGUCUGUAAUGCCAAGAAAGCUAAUGAUUCCUAAGAAUCCUGUCUCAUUUGGAAAUAUGUGGAGAUCAUCAGAGAUUAUGAAAGAUGAUGUAUUCAUGGUGAAAACUCCAUCUCUAGAUGCAGCAGCUUCAGACCCUUUCUUACCUACUUCUUUAAUCAUACUAUCAUGUAAGCAAAUUUUGCACCUAUUGACAUGAUCAUAGUAGAUGCUUAGGCUACGAAAUCUAUUAGGCUGAUGAGUGUGAUACCGAAUGAUGGGAUAUUUACUACAAUAGAAAUAUUCAGCAGGCUGAAAAUCAGUGAUAUCGAGUUUCAGCCUCCUGUAUUCAUCUUCCAAUGAACUUGUUGGAUCAAGCAGAGUCUGCUUAGCUCCAUCAGUCCAGAAAUAUGCACUGUCGAGAUUUACUAAGCUACGGUACAAACUGCUUAAGCUACCAAUGGUAGGCGCCUCGUCUCCAUAGUGCUUCUCGAGGACUUUCACAAUUCUUCCCAAUGGCAAACUCAAGAAGCUUAACAAAAUGUCUGCAAAAUGGCUGUCGGAGUCUGCGAAGAGCACCUUAGUUCUCUCUUUAUUGAUCAUCACUUUCAACGAAAAUGUCGCACCUUUUUUAUCAUCAGCCAUUCUUGAAAUAUAUAUAUGUGGUACAAACAAAGAAAUAUUUGAAUAAUGUAAACGAAAGAUUUCAGCAAUCCCUGCAAUUUUAUGGGGGAAGAAGUUAACCUAAGAGUCGUUAGUUUACUCCCUCCAAAUUAAUUGGCAAAUUCCAAGACUCUCUACAAAUUCCAAGAAUCGUUACAAAAAUUAACCAAGCGCCACUAGUCCCACCAAAUUUCAAGAUCCAUCCGAUUUAUUUGAUUAAUUUCCCGAUUUAUUUAUUCCAAAAAAAUAGAUUUUAUUUUAGAUUGAAAAAGUGAAGUAGCAGUACCUCUUCCAAAUAAGUGUCAAUUUGUCCAACAAAAUUCCAAGAUUAUCUGCAUUGAUCACUCUCCCUUUUUACGAGUCACAGAAAUUAACCAAACGUUGCACCAAAUUCCAAGACCUUCUAGAGUCGAGAAGAAUAAUCUGCUUAACUGUAUAUAUUGGUAUUUAUCAUACGAGAAUAAUUAGAAAGUCAAAUCAACAAUAUGUAUUCUUGUGCUAAAUAAUACUAAACACUAGAUUGAUCUGUACUAAAUUAGCUAAUACAGUGUAUUAGCCAAUAUCAAACACGCACUUAGUUUAGUUUGGCUUCUAUUUAGUGUUGAACAAUAUAUAUUCUUGUGGUUGAAUGUAUUUGCGUUGUGAUUGUCUAUUCAUUUAAGCAGUUUGCAAUAGCUUUGGUGCUUGUAUUGUUGUGCAAAUUUUGAUCUUGUUUUAGUGAUUUCACUACGGAUCAAUGUUUUUGUUCAUUUUGAUAUUGUUAUGCAUCUGUUUCCUUUGUUUAAUAUUGCAGAACUUCGACAUAAUGAGGCUCUUUCUAGUAGUAUAUAAAGUUGAUUUUAGAGGAAAGAUAAGGUUGAAAAUAACAGAAUUUGUGCAAGUUUGAUUCUAGUUAUAAAGGAAAAGGUCCAAAUGAACAAAACACAUAAAUUAAGUCAUUCCAAAAGGGAAAAUGAAAACUUUGCAAACAGACAAAAGGUCCAAAUGAAGCACUGCACCAAACAUAAUUUAAAAUAAAAAUGAAACACCAUAGCUAUUAAAAAACAAGCUGAGUUUGCAACAUGUAGGAGCAGAAAAAACAUAUUAGGAAGCAUGGAUCACAGUCAGUCUUCUUCUCUCUUAGGUUGUUUGAGCGAUUUGUGAGUCAAGAGAGCAUCAGUGAGAGCAGUAGUAGAAGUAAGAGAGGCUUUCAGUAUGCUACAAGCCUGCACCAACACAAUUCAUCUCAACAUCUAAACAUAUAUACAAAAUCAAUCAAAUGAUACAGAUUUCAAAUUGUAUUACCUCUUUCAAUCCAAUUCGCAGCUCCAUUUCUUUUACAUCAGAUAUUGAGAUUUUCUUCUCCCUGAGACUGGAAAGGAUCGAGACAAUACAAAAAGGCAACACAGUUAAGUCAUCCUUUACCUGAUAAGUCCGUGGUCCUCGAAGAUAUCUCCCUUGGCCAUUGGGAAACUUAAGAGAAGAAAACAAAAAUAGUUUUUCAAGGUAAAAAGGAGGCAAUGAUUCUUCGGUGAGGGGAAGAAUGUGGUUUUGAGAUAUACAACCAUGUGGCAAAUUGGACUCCAUUAGCCUCUUUUUUGUAUGUGAGCUCUUGAAAUACUUGCAAUUUCUAGGAUCAGCUGUGCUCCGGUAAAGGUUGUCUAUAGCCUUAACACAUGUUUCGCCUCCAAGAAGAUGCUCAGCUCCUCCUAGUGGGAUAUGAAGGAAACUAAAUAGAAACUCCACAAAAUCUUCCUUAGCUUGAGCAUACAAAAACUUGCCGGUAGAUUUUUGUAUAAUCACUUUCAAACUUAAAGCCCUAGAGUUGGCAUUUUCUUCUUCAAUAUUUAGUUGAGAUUCCACUGUUGAAGAGUUCAUCUGUAUUGUUUUAUUCAAUAUGAGGUCCGACAAUGGAGUUGGAGACGUCAAGGAUGCCUUUAACAGGUUCAUAAUCUAAACAAAAUACACAAUUAAUAAGCCAUGAAAACACAGAAUUGAAGAAGAUUGAGAUUAGAGAGUCAAGAAUCACCUCAUUGAACCCUAAAUCAACUUUGAUCAACUCAGCCUUAGGGGUGGCACGGUACGGUAUACCUUAUUAAAUCGACCAUACCUUAUACCUUACCUUUACCUCCGGUAUGGAGAAAAUUNAGUAGAUGUAAGAGAGGCUUUCAGUAUGCUGCAAGCCUGCACCAACAAAAUUUAUUUCAGCAUCUAAACAUACAUUCAGAAAUAUAACAACCAAGAUUUCAAAUAUACAGUUUAAUCACCUCUUUCAGCCCUAUUUGCAUCUCCACUUCUUUGACAUCAGAUAUCGAGAUUUUCUGCUCUUUAAGAGAGGAAAGUGUCGAGGAAAAGCAGAAAGGCGUAACAGUUAAAUCAUCCGCCACGUGAUAAGUUGGGGAUCCUUUUAGAUAACUUCCCUGCCCAUUGGGAAACUUAACCGAAGAUAACAAGUUCAGAUAAUCAUUGUACUCAGCAGGCAAGCAUUCUUCAGCGAGGGGGAAAAUGCAGUGUGCUGAAAUGUAGCCAUGAGGUAGAAUGGGUGUCAUUAGCCUCUUUUUUCGUAUCCGGGGUAAUGAAAUGCUUGCUAUCUGCAAGGUCGGAUGUGCUCCGGUACAAGUUGUCUAUAGCCUUAACACAAGUGUUACCGGCAAGAAGAUGCUCAACUCCAACCAAUGGGAUGUAGAGGAACUAAACAGAAACUCCACAAACUGUUUAUUUGCUUGAGCAUACGCAACCUUACCAGUAGAUUGUUGUAUCAUCACUUUCAAUCUUAAAUUCCUCGAGUUGUUUGGAUUCUCUUCCUCUGUAGUGUGUGGUUGAGUCACCAUGAAUUUAGAGUAAAUCAGCUGUGUUGUUUUAUUUAGGAUGAUGUCCGACAAUGGAGUUGGGGACGUCAAGGAAGCCUUCAACAAAUUCAUAAUCUAACAAUAACAUGAUAUACACAAAUUAAAUAAAUAACUAGUUAUAACAAAGAUUGAGAUUAGAGAAAACCAAAAAUUACCUCAGUGAAGCCCAAAUCCACCUUGAUUUGCUCGGCGUUAUCCAUGUCUGUAAUGCCAAGAUAGCUAAUGACGCCUAAGAGUCCUGUCUCACUUGGAAAUAUGUGGAGAUCAUCAGAUAUUAAGAAAGAUGAUGUAUUCAUGGUGAAAACUCCAUCUCUAGAUGCAGCAGCUUCAGAUCCUUUCUCAACUACUUCUAUUUUCAUAGCAUCAUUAUAUGAGCAAAAUUUGCACCUCUUGACAUGAUCAUAGAAGAUGCUUACGCUACGAAAUCUAAAAGACUGAGGGUGAUAGAAACAAUAGAAAUAUUCAGCAGGCUGAAAAUCAGUGAUGUCGAGUUUCAGCCUCCCGUAUUCAUCUUCCAAUGAACUUGUUGGAUCAAGCAGAGUCUGCUUAGCUCCAUCAGUCCAGACGUAGGAACUGUCGAGAUUUACUAAGCUACGGUAUAAACUGCUUAAGCUACCAAUGGAAGGCGCCUCGUCUCCAUAGUGCUUCUCGAGGACUUUCACAAUUCUUCCCAAUGGCAAACUCAAGAAGCUUAACAAAAUGUCUGCAAAAUGGCUGUCGGAGUCUGCAAAGAGUACCUUAGUUCUCUCUUUAUUGAUCAUCACUUUCAACGAAAAUGUAGCACCCUUUUUAUCAUCAGUCAUUCUUGAAUUUGAUACAGAAGUCGUCACUGCACUAAUUAGUUUAUAUGUGUAUUGAUCUAAUAGUAGAAUAUAAUUAAUGUUUGAGGUUAAAGGUAUCAAGAUUGCUAUUUGGACAUAAUAUGUUCAUAUAUAAAAUGGUCAAAUAUAUAAAAAUCGAUUAAUUUAAAAAUUUUGGCUCAAAAUAAAAAAGGAUUAAUUUAGUUAAUUAAAAAUAAAGACAGCUACAAUGUGAACAAAAUUUUAAAACUAGCUAAUUUUUUUUUAUUUUUUUAAAUCGAAAAUUUUAUAUUAAUUUUAUUUUGUAUAUAUUCAUUCAUGACCCAAAAAAACCCAUCUUUUCGUCAAAUUCUGUCAUUAUUCAAAACCAAAAUCUAGUUUCCUGAGAGUCCAAUUAAAUCCUUCAUAAAGACUAAAAGAAGCUCGAAUUAAACAUCUCUUACUCGGGUAAUUCUAUCUAUAUCAAAGCCUAUUUUUCAGAAAAAUUAAAAUUUAGUGUAUUUUAUUUCAAAUUUUAAAGAUUGCGAGCAAAAUCAAAAUCCGUCUAAAUUUUAUGUAUUUUGUGGCAAUUUACCCAUAAACAUAGUAGUAAUUAACUAAUUAAUAAACAAUUAAAAAUAGACACAGUGUGAACAAGAGAUGAAUAAGUCAAGAAUUACCUGAUUUCCAAAUUUAUAAAAAUUGGGGAUUUUCAAGAGAAAAAAGACAGAUUUUCAAGUCAACCCAGAAGAAAAUAUGUUGUUGGAUGAGGGUGGCUGAGCUCGCGGCGGAGGAAGAAGAGAGGAGUGGAUAGAUGAGUGAGAGAGAAGCACUGUCAUUAUUUGGCUACUAAAGCAAAAUGGAGCAAACAGUUGAGCUAUGCCAUUGGCGAAUCUUUGCUUUUUCACUUUUUUUUUAAACUUCUUUUUCUGUUUUUCAACUUUUUCUUUUCCAUGUUUUUGGUUUGUCGGUUUCACAAAAAGUACUAUUGCAUGACUUUAUUUGACGCAAUUGUAAUUUAAUACUCCGUGCGCCAAAAUUAGACUACUUUGGUUGAGCACGAAAUUUAAUAAAAUUGGUGAUGAUUUUGAUGUAGUGGAGAAAAUGUCCCACCACUUUAUUAGAUGUGUGGUUGAGAUUGAAUUUGGGCUAGUUUUUUUUGUAAAUAAAAAGUGUUUGUAAGGAUAAAAGAUUAAAGUAGGUAGUAGGACCAUUUCCAUAAAAGGAAAGUGGUAUGCUUUUUGCGGACGCUCAAUAUAAUAAAAAUGGUCUACUUUUGGCGGACGGAGGGAGCAUGUUUGAACAAAAAAGUAGUUAAAUACUUUAACAAAUAUAUUUAUUUAAAACUUUUGAUUAAAAAAAUAGUUAUUUUUAUUAUUUUCUCCAUAUUUUAUUUUAUAAUUUUUAAUAUUUUAUUUAAAAAUUGUUAUUUUUAAAGAGCAUAAAAAUUACAAAUAAAAAGUAAAAAUUAAAAUAGCACCUUAGAUUUCUCUCUAUUGAUCAUCACUUUCAACGAAAACGUAGCAUUCUUGUUCUUGUUUUUCUCAGACAUUUUGGUGGAGGCGAAGAUUUUUCUACAAUUCUAUUUUCUUAUUUGUGAAACAUCAACCUUUCAAGUUCAACCAUAUUAAUAUUCCAUUUUCAGGUGUCUUGAAAUUCGGAAUUUGUUGCUGGUUAAUCAAUUUUAAUUAGGAGUGAAUGCAGAAGGUGUGGCUUUUAGUGGGACUAGUGACUCUUGGUUAACUCCUUCCUCAUAAACAAGGGAGUGAAUGUAGAAAAAAAUCGAAUUAGUAUCUUCAUCUGUUAUUUAGAUCUAAAUCCAAACACAGCCAAAUAUAAAACCUAGUAUUAAAAAAGUGACUUGUUUUACAAAAUUUGAUUUGCCUAUUAUAUCCCUCAUAUAUACUUAGAUUAAGGUUAAUUGUGUAAUUUAAUAUAUUAUACUUAUAAUAUAUCUAUAAAUAUAUUAUGGUUUAUCUUUUAUAUUUUAAUAGCUAUUUAAGUAGUAGUAUCCAUUAGGACUCUUCAUCAUAUAAGUUAUUAUUUUUUUAUUACAUAAUUAUAAUAAUUUAGAAUUAAAAUACAAAGGAUUACUUAAGUAAUAGUAUCCAUUAGAAUUAGUAAAUCGAAAGAUUUCAGCGAGUCCUCUCUUUUAUGGGGGAAGAAGUUAACCGAAGAGUCGUUAAUUAGUCCUCCAAAUUCCAAGACACUCUACAAAUUACAAGAAUCAUUAGAGAAAUUAACCAAGCGCCGCUAGUCCCACCAAAUUCCAAGACAUAAACUUGUUAAAUAGGUUUGAUUUAUUUAAUUUAUUUUUUAAAAUAAAAAUAAUUAUUAUUUUUCCUUAUAUUGUUUAUAUUUUAUUUAUUUUUUGUAAUUUUUUAUUUUUUUAGAAAUAAAAUAGAAAAGUGCAAAAAAAAAGGUACAAUUAAUAUAGACAAUACAAUAAAUUAGUUAAAAGCUAUUUUUAAUUUUAAAAAUAAACUAAAUAAAUCAAAAAAAUUAUCCUAUUGAACUAAUUUGUGAGUGGUCCUGAUGUGAUUGCAUAUAUUUAUUGUUUGGUUGAUUUCCCGGUUUUAUUUACGAUUAAAAAAGUGAAGUAGAAGUAUCUCUUCCAACUAAAUUACCGAUUUUGUGUGUAGGUGGAAUACAAUUUAAAUUUGAAUAAGUUUCAUUUUAAACGUAGGUUAUAGAAAUUUGAUGCAUGCAUGUGAUUUUCUUUAUAGGUGUAUUGAGUGAUGUCACACAAUUCUUUAUUCUUUUGAAUUAUUGAAUGAAUUAUAUGUGACAACAAUUUCAUAAAUAUUAGGAGAUCAAAUGAAUUCUUGCUGCUUAAUUCCAAGUUAGCUGCGGACGUUUAAUUUUGUAUCUCAUAAAGAGAGUGAAUGCAGAGAGUCUCGGAAUUUGGUAGGACUAAUGACUCUUAGGUUAAAGUUGUCGUUGAAAGUGAUGAUAAAUAUAGAGAGAAAUGAGGUACACAAUAUAUAUUUCGAAUUUUUACUCAUCCUACUCCAAUAACAUUUAUGAUAAUUCUUAUUUCAACAAACAAAUAAUAGUUACUCCAUCUCAUAUAUUGUGCAACUUAAAUUUUUUUAUACUCAUAUAGUAUUAAAUAAUUAAUUAAAUUUUAAAUAUAAACCAGUUAGGUGAUAAAAUGCAUCUCAUCUAGCUGCUUAAUUCGAAGCUAGCUACUGCAUGGAGUUUAAUUUGAUUUAGUAUCACAUAAAGAGAGCGAAUGCAGACAGAGACGGAUCUAAAGGCCGGGCAGCCUCGGCGGUCGCCCGGUCAUUUUUUUAUUACCUAUAUAUAUAUAUAUAUAUAUAUAUAUAUAUAUAUUAUUAUUUANNNNNNNNNNNNNNNNNNNNNNNNNNNNNNNNNNNNNNNNNNNNNNNNNNNNNNNNNNNNNNNNNNNNNNNNNNNNNNNNNNNNNNNNNNNNNNNNNNNNNNNNNNNNNNNNNNNNNNNNNNNNNNNNNNNNNNNNNNNNNNNNNNNNNNNNNNNNNNNNNNNNNNNNCACUUUAUAAAUAGCUUUCAACUUCUUUAUUUUUCCAAUGUGGGAUGACACUCCACAUUUCCAUCUUCAAUGGCUAUCUUUGGGCAUUAAUUACUCAUUCAAUUCUUAAUAGAUUUGAACAAGUAAAUAUACCAAAUUAAUCUACUCAAAAUGUAGAUUCCAAAUAUACCAUUUAAUUCCAUUAAUUACAAAGUAAUUAUGGACUAAUAAAAGCCAUUUAUUCCAACAAUAUAUAACAACUAAGAUUUCAAAUGAUACAGGUUACCUCUUUCAGCCCGAUUUGCAUCUCCACUUCUUUGACAUCAGAUAUCGAGAUUUUCUGCUGUUUAAGAGAGGAAAGUGUCGAGGCAAAGAAGAAAGGCGUAACAGUUAAAUCAUCGGCCACGUGAUAAGCUGGCGAUCCUUUAAGAUAACUUCCCCGCCCAUUGGGAAACUUGACAGAAGAAAACAUCGAUAUAUUAUCAUAGUCAGCAGGCAAGGAUUCUUCAGUGAGGGGGAAAAUGUAGUCUUUCGAAAUGUAGCCAUGAGGUAGAAUGGGAGUCAUUAGUCUCUUUUUCGUAUCCGGGGUAAUGAAAUGCUUGCUAUCUGCAAGGUCGGAUGUGUUCCGGUACAAGUUGUCUAUAGCCUUAACACAAGUGCUACCGGCAAGAAGAUGCUCAACUCCUACCAAUGGGAUGUAGAGGAAACUAAACAGAAACUCUACAAACUGUUUAUUAGCUUGAGCAUACGCAACCUUACCAGUAGAUUGUUGUAUCAUCACUUUCAAACUUAAAUUCGUAGAGUUAUUUGGAUUCUCUUCCUCUGUAGUGUGUGGUUGAGACACCAUGAGUGUAGAGUAAAUCAGCUGUGUUGUUUUAUUUAGGAUGAUGUCCGACAAUGGAGUUGGGGACGUCAAGGAUGCCUUCAACAAAUUCAUAAUCUAACUAACAUGAUAUACACAAAUUAAAUAAAUAACUAGUUAUAACAAAGAUUGAGAUUAGAGAAAACCAAAAAUUACCUCAGUGAAGCCCAAAUCCACCUUGAUUUGCUCGGCGUUAUCCAUGUCUGUAAUGCCAAGAUAGCUAAUGACGCCUAAGAGUCCUGUCUCACUUGGAAAUAUGUGGAGAUCAUCAGAGAUUAAGAAAGAUGAUGUAUUCAUGGUGAAAACUCCAUCUCUAGAUGCAGCAGCUUCAGAUCCUUUCUUAACUACUUCUAUUUUCAUAGCAUCAUUAUAUGAAGCAAAAUUUGCACCUCUUAACAUGAUCAUAGUAGAUGCUUACGCUACGAAAUCUAUAAGACUGAGAGUGAUAGUAGGAUAUUUACAAUAGAAAUAUUCAGCAGGCUGAAAAUCAGUGAUGUCGAGUUUCAGCCUCCCGUAUUCAUCUUCGAAUGAACUUGUUGGAUCAAGCAGAGUCUGCUUAGCUCCAUCAGUCCAGAAAUAGGCACUGUCGAGAUUUGCUAAGCUACGGUACAAACUGCUUAAGCUACCAACGGAAGGCGGCUCGUCUCCAUAGUGGUGGUCGAGGAUUUUGACAAUUCUUCCCAACGGCAAAGUCAAGAAGCUUAACAAAAUGUCUGCGAAGUGGCUGUCGGAGUCUGCAAAGAGUACCUUAGUUCUCUCUUUAUUGAUCAUCACUUUCAACGAAAAUGUAGCACCCUUUUUAUCAUCAGCCAUUCUUGAAAUAUAUAUGUGGUACAAACAAAGAAAUAUUUGAACAAUGUAAUCGGAAGAUUUCAGCAAACCCUCCAUUUUUAUGGGGGAAGAAGUUAACCUAAGAGUCGUUAGUUUAGUGCCUCCAAAUUCCAAGAAUCGUUAGAAAAAUUAACCAAGCGCCACUAGUCCCACCAAAUUCCAAGACCCAUCGGAUUGUAUUUGAUUAACUUCCCAAUUUUAAAAAAUAAAAAAAAAAAAUAAAAAAAAUCGAUCUAUUUUAGAUUGGAAAAGUGAAGUAGAAGUACCUCUUCCAACUAAUUAAAUUACCGAUUUAGUGUCAAUAUAGACCACAAUUUAAAUUUAAAUAAGUUUCAUUUUAGAUAUAGGUUUACAAAUUUGAUGCAUGCAUGUGAUAACAAUUUCAUAAUUUUUUUUUUGAAACAAUUUCAUAAAUAUUAGGAGAUCAAAUGCAUCCCAUAUGUAGCUGCUCAAUUCCAAGUUAGCUACUGACGUUUAAUUUGAUUUUGUAUCUCAUAAAGAGAGUGAAUGCAAGGAGUCUUGGAAUUUGGUGGGACUAAUGACUCUUAGGUUAACUUCUUCCCCAUAAAAAGGGAGGGUUUGGUGAAAACUAUCGAUUACAUUAUUAUCUCAAGAAUGUCUGAUGUUGAGAAGGAUGUCAAGUUGUCGUUGAAAGUGAUGAUAAACAAAGAGAGAAAUGAGGUACUCUUUGCAGAAGCCGACAACCAUUUCACAGACAUUUUGUUAAGCUUCUUGAGUUUGCCGUUGGGAAGAAUUUUCAAAGUCUUCAAGAAGCACUAUGGUGAUGAGCUUCCUACCAUUGGAAGCUUAAGCAGUUUGUACCAUAGCUUAACAAAUCUUGAUAGCGCCCAUUUUGUGACGGAGGGUGCUAAGCAGACUCUGCUCAGUCCAACCAGUUUAUUUGAAGAUGAAUACAAAAGGCUGAAACUCGAUAUCACUGAUUCUCCGCCUGCUGAAUAUUUCUAUUGUUCAUCCUGUUACCCUCAUGAUAGAUUUCAUAUUAUAAGCAUGUACUAUGACUCUGUUGAGCGUUGCAAAUGUUACCGUAGUAUGAUGAAAGAAGUAGCUAAAAAAGGGUCUGAAGCAGCUAGUGAUGGAGUGUUUACUAUACGUAAAGCAUCUUUCACAAUCUCUGAUGAUCUUCAAAUAUUUCCAAAUGAGAUUGGACUCCUACCAAUCACCACCCUUCUUGGCAUUACAGAUGCCCAUAAGGCUGAGGAAAUCAAAGUGGAUCUUGGCUUCAAUGAGGUGAUUUCUUGAAUAUUCUCUAAUUAAUCUCAAUCUUUGUUAUAACUAGUUAUUUAUAUUUUGUCAUUUUUGUGUUUAUAUGGUUGUUAGAUUAUGAAUUUGUUGAAGGCUUCCUUGACGUCCCCAACUCCAUUGUCGGACGUAAUCCUGAAUAAAACAACAACACAGAUGAACUCUGCAAAGAUUCCGUUGCAUGAGAUUGUAGAGAAAAAAAACCCCAAUUCUAGGAAUUUAAGUUUGAAAGUCACCAUACAAAAAUCUACAGGUAAGUUUCUGUAUGCUCAAGCUAAGGCAGAUUUUAUGGAGUUUCUAUUUGGUUUCUUCAACAUCCCACUAGGAGGAGUUGGGCAUCUUCUUGCUGGCAAGACUGGUUUCAAGGCUAUAAACAACUUGUAUCGGAGCACAACUGACCUUAUAAACGACAAGUAUUUCAAGACCUCGGAUAUGAAAAGAAGGCUAAUGAAACCCAACUUGUUUCAUGGUUGCACUUCCAAAAACAACAUUCUUGCUCUUGUCGAAGAACCCUUGCCUGAUGACUUCGAUAAAGCUGAAUUUUCUUCAGUCAAGUUUCCCAAAGGGAAGGGUAGGUAUCUUGAAGGAGCAGCAACUUAUAAGGUGACAGAUGACUUAACUGUGACCCCUUUUUGCACUGUCUCCAUUCUUUCUACUCUGAAUAGCUUGAAAAUCCCAAUAAAUGACGUCGAAGAAAGGGAUCUGCAAAUCGGAUUGAAAGAGAUAAUCAUUGAAUCUUUUUAUAAAUGAUUUUUUUUAGCAUAUUUUGAGAUGAAGUUUGUUGGUGCAGGGCUUGAGCAUACUGAAAGCUUCUCUUACAUCCACUUCUGCUCUCACAGAUUCUCUCCUCAGUCAUAAAUCGAGCAAGAAACGGAAGAAAGAACUCGCAGGCUGAUCCUUGGUUGCAACUAUUACAAAUAUUAGCAACUCUAUAUAUGGUGCUUAUAUUUGCUUUUGCUUUUUAUUGUGAUCCUAAUAUUUUCAAGGACCUAUUUUUCAUAUGCAAGUUACUGUUUUUGUUUCUGUGUUGUCCUUAUAUGAGAGAAAGCAUACUCUUGAAAUUACUUCUAAUUUAUUGACAAUAUUGCCUCGCUCACAUGAUCAGACGAAUCCACCCUAAAAAAUAACUACUGAAACUUGAAAAAAUUUACACUAAACUUGCAAAUAAUAAAAAGAUUUUCUUUUUCAUUUCUUGGAAUCGUGCAACAGGCUGAUAUCGAGGAUGAGAUCUAGUGUACCAUAAACGAUGUCUCAUUCCAUGUCUCACUAUUAAAAUGACGUAGUUUUAAUUAUAACUCUAAUAUGUACAUAAUUGAUAUCAUCAUUCUAAAGUAAAGGAAGGAAUUACACAAAAAAUCAUAUGGUUCUUUUGCUUCCCAAUUUGUUCUUCUACUCAAAUCCAAAUCAUUCUGCCGGUAAGGCUUGUGUUAAGGCUAUAGACAACAUGUAUUAGAACACAUGUGAAUAUAUGGAUAACGUAUCUCAUAACCUCGGAUACGAAGAAGAGGAUAAUAAAACCUAAUGUGGUUCAUGGCUGUAUAGAGAGAAACACUUACAUCCCCUUCUGUUCUCACCGAUGAUCUCCUAACUCGCACAUCGAAUAAACAAAUAAUUGGAGAAGUAUGAGUUUGAUCCACACAACAAUUUUGCUGCAUAAUUAUAUAACUAAUAUUGUUUGCUUAUGUUAAUAGCUAUGGUUCUUAAAUUAAACAAUCUUCAUAGUGUAUUAUGAGAGUUAUGCAUCUAUUGAUCUCUUUGAUGAUGCAUUGUUUAAAUCAUUUAAAAAUUCAAUAAAAUACAUUAUUUCAAAUGUUUACUCAUCCUAACCCAAUAACAUGUACGAUAAUUCUUAUUUCAACAAACGAACAAUAGGUACUCCAACUCAUAAAUUCUAAUUAGCAAAAUAUUACUUAUAGAUUUUCGUUUUUGUGACUUCCUAUCAUAUCUGGGCUCGGAUCACAAAGAAGGAUGACAAUGGGCUCAUAUCUACAUUUGGUCUAGAUCCAUUAACUUUGAAAAAAAAAUUAAAUAUAGGUCAAAAUUCAUAAAAUCCACAACUAAUUUAUGUAAUUCGAUUAAUUUAUUUAAAUUGGUUAUUGCAAUUGAAGUUAGCAAAAAUAAAUAAAGGAUAAAUCCUUUCGGAUCAAAUUGAUCCGAAUCAAUGAUAAUAAUAUUGUCAAAAUAUUUAAAUUGAAAAUGUAUCUUACCUUAAAUGCCCUUAAUAAAAAUUUAGAAUUCAAAAUAUUAAAUUUAUUAUUCAUAUACAUAAAUUCAAAUGUUUUUCCAUUUUUCUAGGCCAUUAAUUGAAUUCGUAAAUAUAAAAAUUGUACGUUAGUCUCCUUAAAUUUAUGAACUUAAUUAAAUGAAUUUAUGAUUAUAACAAUUUCGGUUAGUCUAUCAAUAAAAUUAUGAAUCUUCUUCCAAGUCUCCUGAGCUUUAUGCAAAGUAUCACGAUUGCAUCGAACGAAAAUUUAAACGAAUAAUCAACUAAAAAUUAAUUAAAAUGGCGAAUCUUCUUCCAAGUUAGACUCUGGUGGGACGACGUUUGGUUAGUUUCUCUAUCUCGUAAAAAGGUAGUGAUAUCAAUGCGUAGAAUCUUGGAAUUUGGUUGGACUAAUGACUCUUUGGUGGGUUAAUUUCUUGCCUUAAAAAAAAGCGAGGGUUUGCAGACAAAUCUUGAUAGCAAUCUAAGUUUUCAUCUCCAUUACCACAAAUAUUACUAAUUUUCUACACAUUUUAGCAGAAUGUCUGAUGCUAAUAAAGAUGUCAAGUUGUCGUUGAAAGUGAUGAUGAAUAAAGAUAAAACUAAGGUUCUCUUUGCAGAAGCCGACGGCCAUUUUAUAGACAUUUUGUUAAGCUUCUUGACUUUGCCGUUGGGAAGAAUUAUCGAAAUCUUCCACAACCAGUAUGGAGAAAAGGCACCCACCAUUGGAAGCUUAAGCAGUUUGUAUCGUAGCUUAGAAAAUCUCGAUGACGCCCACUUUGUGACGGAGGCUGCUCAGCGGGCUCUGCUCUAUCCAAUCAGUUCAUUUGAAGAUGCAUACAAAAGGCUGAAACUGGACAUCACUGAUUCUCUGCCUGAGAAGUAUUUCUGCUGUUUCUUAGCCUCUCAUGGUAGAUUUCCUAGUUUAAGCAUCUACUAUGAUAAUCUCACUUGCAGAAUCUGUGGCAAUAUGAUGAGAAAAGAAGCAGCUAAAAACCUAUCUAGAGCUUCUUCGAGUGAUGGAGUGUUCACGAAAAGUAAAGCAUCUUUCACAAUCUCCGGUGAUCUGCAAAUAUUUCCAAAUGAAAUUGGGCUCCUACCAUUCAUCACCCUUCUUGGCAUUACAGACGCGCAUGAGGCGGAGGAAAUCCAAGUGUCGUUUGGGUUCGAUGAGGUGAUUCUUGUUUCUUUAAUCUCAAUUUUCCACCUUUUUUUUGGGAUUAAUUGGUUAUAAUCCAGAAAGGGGUUAGUGCCUAGAUUAGAAUCGUAAUUUUAGGAAAAUUUCGAAAAUAAUCCAAGUUGAUCAUGGCUUUGUUAGUUUGUUUACUAAUCUAUACCUAUAAAAUUUGAUUCGUCUAUAAUAUCUGUCAUAUAUAUUUAUUUUAAGGUUAAUUGUGUAUUUUAAUAUUUUUUAUAUAUAAUAAAUCUAAAAAAAUAAGUUAUGAUUUAUAUUUUAAUUAGUAUUUAAGUGGUAGUACCUAUUAGGACUCUUCAUCCACAUAAAUUACUGUUCUUUAUUCUCUAAAGUUAGUAAUUUAGAAUCACAGUAUUACUUAAUACUAGUUUUAUUAGAAGAAUUCUUGGAUUAAAAUUAAUUAUAUAAAGAUGAAACCUAGAAAACAAACAUGAAUUUUAUAUACUUUUAUUUUUGGUUAUGUUUUUUUCUGUGGACGUCCAAAAUUAGUUGGUACUUAAUAAAUUAAAAUUAAAUUUCAUACAAAAUUUAGAUAUUACAUAACUUUUAAAAAAUUAUUGUCAUAAAAGUUACUCCCUCUUUCCACGAAAGAAUUUCCUAUCUUUCCUUGUUGGGAUGUCCACAAAAGAACUUCCUAUUUAUUUUUGGACUAUACCCCACCACUUAUGAUCUUCUUACUUUUCAAUUUUCACAACUCUCAAUAUUAAUUAUAACACUUUUUCACCACUUCUAGUACACUCAACUACCUUUUAUCCACUCUCAAUACACUCAACAAUAUUUUUUCUUAAAAUUCAUGUCACUUCCUCCUAGAAAGUUCUUUUAUGGACGGAGGGAGUGCUAUAUAGUAUUAAAGUAAUUCAUUUUUACGGGCAAACACAAUCAUUUCUGCUAGUAAUCUAUAUAAAUUUGUAGCCGAUUAACCCUUUUUUUUUUAAUGAGAUGUUAGAUUAUGGACUUGUUGAAGGCAUCAUUGACGUCGCCAACUCCAUUGUCGGACCUCAUCCUACGUAAAAAAACAAAGAGUUCAACUGCAGCUAUUUCAAUGCAUGAAAUUGUGAACGAGAUAAACCCCAAGUGUAGGAAUUUAAGUUUGAAAUUGAUGAUACGAAAAUCCACCGGUGAGCUUUUGUACGCUCAAGCUCAGGAAGAUUUCGUAGAGUUUCUAUUUGGUUUGCUCACCAUUCCACUAGGAGGAUUGGAGCAUCUUCAAGCCGGCAAGUCUUGUUUUACGGCGAUAAACAACUUGUAUCGGAGCACGGCUGAACUAGACGACAAGUAUUUCAAGACCUCGGAGACGAAGAAGAGGCUUAUGAAUCCCCAUUUGCCUCAUGGUUGCAUCUCCCCAAACCAGAUUCUUCCCCUCACUGAAGAAUGCUUGCCUGCUGAGUACAUUGAUAAUCUCUCGCUCUUUUCUUCGGUUGCGUUUCCUGAAGGCCAGGGAAGAUAUCUCGAGCGACCAACAACUUAUUUGGUGAGCGAUAAUUUGACUGUGACUCCUUACUUUACUGUUUCUGCUCUUUGCCGUAUGAAUAAGGAGAAGAUUCCGAUAUCUGAUGUUGAAGAAAUGCAGCUGCAAAUUGGAUUGAAAGAGGUAAAUACAACUUUGAUAGCUUUUAAUUGUAUAUAUGUUUAGAUGUUGAGAGCAAAUUUGUUGAUGGGUGCAGGCUUUGAGCAUACUGAAAGCUUCUCUUACAUCCACCACAGCUCUCUCCGAUGCUCUGCUCAAUACUUACCCGUCGCACAAACGACAAAAGAAAUAAUUUUGAUUGCAUCGUUUGAAUGUCCCUUGAUGGAAAAUAAUAAUGAGCUUAUGAAAGCUAGUAUUGUAGACAUAAUUUAUGAGUUUUCAAAGAAGUAUUCUCUUGUGCCAGUUAAUUAAGAUCUUCGAGUCUAAAAUAGACGUCUUAAUUUUGUUAUUUGUUCAUUCAUUAAAAACUCUGAUUUUGCUAAUAUCACUGUGGAUCUAGUUUCCACCAAUUUAUAUUUUAUUCAUAUUUAAUAUAAAUUAAUUUCAAAGCUAUUUCUAAUUAAUAUAAAAAAAAUUUAUUAUUUUAUAAAUAUUGUAUAACAAAAUUAACAAAAUUAGUAAUUAUUUUAGUUUUUACUUUUUAUUUGUAAUUUUUAUGCUUUAAAAAUAAUAAUUUUUAAAAAAAUUAUAAAAAUUACAAAAAUAAUAAUUAGCAACUAUGGUGCUUAUGUUUGCUUUUGUUUUUUCAUAUGAUCCUAGAUAUUCCAGUCACUUAGACCUUUUCUUCAUAUGCAAAUUAUUUGUUUUUUGUUUCUGUAGAAAGCAUAAUCUUGAAAGUUAUACAACUAAAAUCGAACUGUCAAAUGGAAUUACUCCAAUUUAAAAUGUCGAAAUAUUCAUUGACAAUAUAUACUACCUCGCUAACAAAAUCAGAGCAAUCCACAACUAAAAAUAACUACUGAAACUUGAAAUAGUUUACACUAAACUUGCGACGAAUGGAAAAAAAAUAAGAUUUCCUUUUUCAUUUGUUGGAAUCCCACACCAUGUCCAACUAUCAAAACCAUCUGACAUUUAAACAAAAUCAUGUUUAUAUUCCAAAAAUUAUUAUUUCUCACACCCGAAAGAUGACGGGUGAUAUCUGAUGUAGCCUAAAUAUUUGAAAGCUAUAGUGAAUAAAGAGAUGCAACGUGCUACGAUUGUGAGAAUCUUGAAGAAGCACUAUUUGAAUCUCUGAAUAUCUAGUUGUAGUGAUUUCUGGUUAUAUCAUUUUUUGCAUUUUCGUUUUAUGUUUUGUGGUAUAUGCAUAUUAAGAGCAUCCCUUACAUCUGAUUAUGAUUCUGCUUGGCAUUAUCAUAAAAUCUGAGGCACAAAAAAUCUCUCUUUUGUAAGAAGUCAUUAAUUAUUUCAAGUUCCACGGCCGUGAGUUCAAUUUUCAUUUGAUUGGAUAUUUAGUCUGGUUCUUGUAUUGUGAGCAUUCAGUAUGAAAUAGUGAUUAAAUUAUGAAAUUACAUUGUGAAACGAACAAUUUGAACAUACAAAAAGUGAAAUAGUUUUAAAAUGAUGAAUGGAAAAACAAGAACCAUAGUUAAAACAACAUAAAAGCACAAUGCAAAGCUAUGAAUUUAAGCCAACAAUGUCACAUUUAUGAGCAGCAAAACAAGAUCUAAAAGCAUGGAUCACACUCAGACUUCUCUCUUUGGUUGUUUGAUUGAUAUGUGACUCAAUAGAGCAUCAGAAAGAGCAGAAGUGGAUGUAAGAGAGGCUUUCAGUAUGCCCAAAGCCUGCACAAAAGAAGACAAAAUCAACAUGUAAACAUAUGCUCAAUCAUGCACAAAUAAACUCGAAGCAAACGAGAUAGUAUUUGCAUAUAGAAAAAAGAUUCAAACGAAUGGAAAAUCAAGAUACAUAACUUAAAAUAACAAUGAAGCACACAAUAACUAUUAAUAUAACAUAUAAGCCAAUAUUUGCAACAUAAAUAGGAAGAAUGGAUAUCACACUUCUCUCUUUGGCUGUUUGAUUGAUUUGCCACUCAGAAGAGCAUCAGUGAGAGCAGUAGUAGAAGCAAGAGAGGCUUUCAGUAUGCUGCAAGCCUGCACCAACACAUUUUAUCUCAACAUCUAAACAUAACUAAAUAUAACAACCAAGAUUUUAAAUGAAAGUUUACCUCUUUCAGCCCUAUUUGCAUCUCCACUUCUUUGACAUCAGAUAUCGAGAUUUUCUGCUGUUUAAGAGAUGAAAGUGAUGAGGCGAUGCAAAAAGGUGUAACGGUUAAAUCAUCAGCCACGUGAUAAGUUGGAGAUCCUUUAUGAUAACUUCCCUUCCCAUUGGGAAACUUAACAGAAGAAAAAUGGCUUCUAUCAUUGUAGUCAGCAGGCAAUCUUUCUUCAAUGAGAGGGAAAAUGUGGUCUUUCGAAAUAUAGCCAUGAGGUAGAAUGGGAGUCAUUAGCCUCUUUUUCGUAUCCGGGGUAAUGAAAUGCUUGCUAUCUAUAAGGUUGGAUGUGUUCCCGUACAAGUUGUCUAUAGCCUUAACACAGGUGUUACCGGCAAGAAGAUGCUCAACUCCUCCCAGUGGGAUGUAGAGGAAACUAAACAGAAACUCUACAAACUGUUUCUUAGCUUGAGCAUACAAAAACUUACCAGUAGAUUGUUGUAUCAUCACUUUCAAACUUAAAUUCCUAGAGUUAUUGGGAUUCUCUUCCUUUCGCAGUGUGUGGUUGAGACACCAUGAUGUAGAGUAAAUCUGAGUUGUUUUACUUAGGAUGAUGUCCGAUAAUGGAGUUGGGGACGUCAAGGAUGCCUUCAACAAAUUCAUAAUCUAACAGAAAUAGGGAUAACAAUUAAGGUAAAUUAAAGAAAAAUGAGUGGGAGGAAGAUUGAGAUUAUGGAAACAAGAAUCACCUCAUUGAAGCCCAAAUCCACCUUGAUUUGCUCGGCAUUAUCCAUGUCUGUAAUGCCAAGAAAGCUAAUGAUACCUAAGAGUCCUGUCUCAUUUGGAAAUAUGUGGAGAUCAUCAGAGAUUAUGAAAGAUGAUGUAUUCAUGGUGAAAACUCCAUCUCUAGAUGCAGCAGCUUCAGAUCCUUUCUUAACUACUUCUAUUUUCAUAGAACCAUCAUUUGAGCAAAAUUUGCACCUCUUGAUGUGAUCAUAGUAGAUGCUUACGCUACGAAACCGAGAGUGACUUAUGGGAUAAAUACUACAAUAUAAAUAUUUAGCAGGCUGAAAAUCAGUGAUGUCUAGUUUGAGCCUUUCGUAUUCAGCUUCGGAUGAACUUGUUGGAUCGAGCAGAGUCUGCUUAUUAGCCCCAUCUGUCCAGAAAUGGGCACUGUCGAGAUCAACUACGCUACGGUACAAACUGCUUAAGCUUCCAAUGGUAGGCGCCUCGUCUCCAUAGUGCUUCUCAAGGACUUUCACAAUUCUUCCCAACGGCAAACUCAAGAAGCUUAACAAAAUAUCUGCAAAAUGGCUGUCAGCUUCUGCGAAGAAUACCUUAGUUCUCUCUUUAUUGAUCAUCACUUUCAACGGAAAUGUAGCACCCUUUUUGUCAUCAGACAUUCUUGACAAUAUAAAUGUGGAACAAACAAAGGAAUUUUAGGAUAAUGUAAACGAAAGUAAAUCGAAAGAUUUCAGCAAGUCCUCUCUUUUGUGGGGGAAGAAGUUAACCGAAGAGUCGUUAAUUAGUCCAUCCAAAUUCCAAGACACUCUACAAAUUACAAGAAUCAUUAGAGAAAUUAACCAAGCGCCGCUAGUCCCACCAAAUUCCAAGACAUAAACUUGUUAAAUAGGUUUGAUUUAUUUAAUUUAUUUUUUAAAAUAAAAAUAAUUAUUAUUUUCCUUAUAUUGUUUUCAUUUUAUUUAUUUUUUUAGAAAUAAAAUAGAAAAGUGCAAAAAAUAGGUACAAUUAAUAUAGACAAUACAAUAAAUUAAUAAAAAGCUAUUUUUAAUUUUAAAAAUAAACAAAAUAAAUAAAUAAAAUUCCUAUUGAACUAAUUUGUGAGUGGUCCUAAUGUGAUUGCAUAUAUUUAUUGUUUGGUUAAUUUCCCGGUUUUAUUUACGAUUAAAAAAGUGAAGUAGAAGAAGUAUCUCUUCCAACUAAAUUACCGAUAUUGUGUGUAGGUGGAACACAAUUUAAAUUUGAAUAAGUUUCAUUUUAAAUGUAGGUUUACAAAUUUGAUGCAUGCAUGUGAUUUUCUUUAUAGGUGUAUUGAGUGAUGUCACACUAAUCUUUAUUCUUUUGAAUUUUUGAAUGAAUUAUAUAUAUAUAUGUGACAACAAUUUCAUAAAUAUUAGGAAUCAAAUGCAUCCCAUCUUGCUGCUUAAUUCCAAUUAGCUACUGACGUUUAAUUUGAUUUUGUAUCUCAUAAAGAGAGUGAAUGAGAGAGUCUUGGAAUUUGGUAGGACUAAUGAAUCUUAGGUUAACUCUUCGCCAUAAUUAAAAAGGGAGGGUAUGGUGUUAAGAAGGAUGUCAUGUCGUUGAAAGUGAUGAUAAAUAAUCAUAGUUAUGCUCUAUUGAUCUCUUUGAUGUUGCAUUGUUUAAAUCAUUUGAAGAUUCAAUAAAAGGUCUAUGACAUAAGCAUAAAUGCAAAAAAGUACAUAACAUUUCAAGAAAUUCAUGUUUAUAUUCCAAAAAUUAUUUCUGACAACCAAGAUAGUAUUUGCAUAUUGAAAAAAGACCAAACGAAUGGAAAAUCAAGAUCCAUAAUUAAAAUAAAAAUGAAGCACCAUAACUAUUAAUAUGGAGUAACAUAUAAUUAAGCCAAUACUUGCAACAUAUAUAUAGGAAGCAUGGAUCACACUUCUCUCUUUGGUCUGUUUGAGUGAUUUGCGAAUCAUCAGAGCAUCAGUGAGAGCAGUAGUAGAUGUAAGAGAGGCUUUCAGUAUGCUGCAAGCCUGCACCAACAAAAUUUAUUUCAGCAUCUAAACAUACAUUCAGAAAUAUAACAACCAAGAUUUCAAAUAUACAGUUUAAUCACCUCUUCAGCCCUAUUUGCAUCUCCACUUCUUUGACAUCAGAUAUCGAGAUUUUCUGCUCUUUAAGAGAGGAAAGUGUCGAGGAAAAGCAGAAAGGCGUAACAGUUAAAUCAUCCGCCACGUGAUAAGUUGGGGAUCCUUUUAGAUAACUUCCCUGCCCAUUGGGAAACUUAACCGAAGAUAACAAGUUCAGAUAAUCAUUGUACUCAGCAGGCAAGCAUUCUUCAGCGAGGGGGAAAAUGCAGUGUGCUGAAAUGUAGCCUGAGGUAGAAUGGGUGUCAUUAGCCUCUUUUUCGUAUCCGGGGUAAUGAAAUGCUUGCUAUCUAAGUCGGAUGUGUCGGUACAAGUUGUCUAUAGCCUUAACACAAGUGUUACCGGCAAGAAGAUGCUCAACUCCACCAAUGGGAUGUAGAGGAAACUAAACAGAAACUCCACAAACUGUUUAUUUGCUUGAGCAUACGCAACCUUACCAGUAGAUUGUUGUAUCAUCACUUUCAACUUAAAUUCCUCGAGUUGUUUGGAUUCUCUUCCUCUGUAGUGUGUGGUUGAGUCACCAUGAAUUUAGAGUAAAUCAGCUGUGUUGUUUUAUUUAGGAUGAUGUCCGACAAUGGAGUUGGG